GUAGAUAUANGGAGGAACACCAGUGGCGAAAGCGGCUCUCUGGUCUGUCACUGACGCUGAGGCUCGAAAGCGUGGGUAGCGAACAGGAUUAGAUACCCUGGUAGUCCACGCCGUAAACGAUGAGUGCUAGGUGUUAGGCCCUUUCCGGGGCUUAGUGCCGGAGCUAACGCAAUAAGCANUCCGCCUGGGGAGUACGACCGCAAGGUUGAAACUCAAAGGAAUUGACGGGGGCCCGCACAAGCGGUGGAGCAUGUGGUUUAAUUCGAAGCAACGCGAAGAACCUUACCAGGUCUUGACAUCCCGAUGCUAUUCUUAGAGAUAGGAAGUUACUUCGGUACAUCGGAGACAGGUGGUGCAUGGUUGUCGUCAGCUCGUGUCGUGAGAUGUUGGGUUNNNNNNNNNNACGAGCGCAACCCUUAUUGUUAGUUGCCAUCAUUAAGUUGGGCACUCUAGCGAGACUGCCGGUAAUAAACCGGAGGAAGGUGGGGAUGACGUCAAAUCAUCAUGCCCCUUAUGACCUGGGCUACACACGUGCUACAAUGGUCGGUACAACGAGUUGCGAGCCGGUGACGGCAAGCUAAUCUCUGAAAGCCGAUCUCAGUUCGGAUUGGAGGCUGCAACUCGCCUCCAUGAAGUCGGAAUCGCUAGUAAUCGCGGAUCAGCACGCCGCGGUGAAUACGUUCCCGGGCCU
rnacentral:rRNA from 1 species